ACGAACGCUGGCGGCGUGCCUAAUACAUGCAAGUCGAACGCUUCUUUUUCCACCGGAGCUUGCUCCACCGGAAAAAGAGGAGUGGCGAACGGGUGAGUAACACGUGGGUAACCUGCCCAUCAGAAGGGGAUAACACUUGGAAACAGGUGCUAAUACCGUAUAACAAUCGAAACCGCAUGGUUUUGAUUUGAAAGGCGCUUUCGGGUGUCGCUGAUGGAUGGACCCGCGGUGCAUUAGCUAGUUGGUGAGGUAACGGCUCACCAAGGCGACGAUGCAUAGCCGACCUGAGAGGGUGAUCGGCCACAUUGGGACUGAGACACGGCCCAAACUCCUACGGGAGGCAGCAGUAGGGAAUCUUCGGCAAUGGACGAAAGUCUGACCGAGCAACGCCGCGUGAGUGAAGAAGGUUUUCGGAUCGUAAAACUCUGUUGUUAGAGAAGAACAAGGAUGAGAGUAACUGUUCAUCCCUUGACGGUAUCUAACCAGAAAGCCACGGCUAACUACGUGCCAGCAGCCGCGGUAAUACGUAGGUGGCAAGCGUUGUCCGGAUUUAUUGGGCGUAAAGCGAGCGCAGGCGGUUUCUUAAGUCUGAUGUGAAAGCCCCCGGCUCAACCGGGGAGGGUCAUUGGAAACUGGGAGACUUGAGUGCAGAAGAGGAGAGUGGAAUUCCAUGUGUAGCGGUGAAAUGCGUAGAUAUAUGGAGGAACACCAGUGGCGAAGGCGGCUCUCUGGUCUGUAACUGACGCUGAGGCUCGAAAGCGUGGGGAGCAAACAGGAUUAGAUACCCUGGUAGUCCACGCCGUAAACGAUGAGUGCUAAGUGUUGGAGGGUUUCCGCCCUUCAGUGCUGCAGCUAACGCAUUAAGCACUCCGCCUGGGGAGUACGACCGCAAGGUUGAAACUCAAAGGAAUUGACGGGGGCCCGCACAAGCGGUGGAGCAUGUGGUUUAAUUCGAAGCAACGCAAAGAACCUUACCAGGUCUUGACAUCCUUUGACCACUCUAGAGAUAGAGCUUCCCCUUCGGGGGCAAAGUGACAGGUGGUGCAUGGUUGUCGUCAGCUCGUGUCGUGAGAUGUUGGGUUAAGUCCCGCAACGAGCGCAACCCUUAUUGUUAGUUGCCAUCAUUUAGUUGGGCACUCUAGCAAGACUGCCGGUGACAAACCGGAGGAAGGUGGGGAUGACGUCAAAUCAUCAUGCCCCUUAUGACCUGGGCUACACACGUGCUACAAUGGGAAGUACAACGAGUCGCAAAGUCGCGAGGCUAAGCUAAUCUCUUAAAGCUUCUCUCAGUUCGGAUUGUAGGCUGCAACUCGCCUACAUGAAGCCGGAAUCGCUAGUAAUCGCGGAUCAGCACGCCGCGGUGAAUACGUUCCCGGGCCUUGUACACACCGCCCGUCACACCACGAGAGUUUGUAACACCCGAAGUCGGUGAGGUAACCUUUUGGAGCCAGCCGCCUAAGGUGGGAUAGAUGAUUGGGGUG
rnacentral:rRNA from 1 species